GGGAUGACAGAAGAUAGAUGUCAUGACGACCCGGAAGUUCUGUGGCGGGCCUGGCAUACACUAGGCAGAUGCUCUACCACUGAGCUACACAGCCACCCACUUCUCACUGAGAUGUAAAUGGGAUCGAGGACUUCUCUGACUCACCUCGCCUGGAGAUGCCCUUCUGGGAUGGAGCCCAUUUCCUCUCUUGGAACUGUUCCUGUUCCCUUUGGAGCCUGGGCUGAACGCCAUGCGCGGCCAGGAGCACCUGUAGCCGGAGGCAAAGUCUCUGUCACCUCUUCCGGGAUGGCUGGCAUCCAUCUUUUCUGGAUUAGGCUUCCUACCCUCUCUCUUGCACAAAUAGACCUCUUACUCCUUCACUCCUCCGGCAUAGGAGCUCCUCCUGCGCUGCUUCUGCACCAAGCAUCUUAGCUCUGGCUGGGCGAAUCGCACCUUAGCCUCCCAGGCUAAGAGUCCGGUGGCCUCUACCUUUGCACCACCUGCCUGUGGAGGGACUCAGCUCUCUGCCCCGCACCCUCACUCUGAACUCUCAGUCACUCAAACCUCCCUUUUCCUCUCUUUGGUGUUCCCUCUAACCUGAUUGCUUAAAAAACCAAAAACCGGGGUUGGGGAUUUAGCUUAGUGGUAGAGCGCUUGCCUAGCAAGCUCAAGGCCCUGGGUUCGGUCCCCAGCU
rnacentral:lncRNA from 1 species